AGUGAACGCUGGCGGUAGGCCUAACACAUGCAAGUCGAACGGCAGCACAGUAAGAGCUUGCUCUUACGGGUGGCGAGUGGCGGACGGGUGAGGAAUACAUCGGAAUCUCCUUUUUCGUGGGGGAUAACGUAGGGACACUUACGCUAAUACCGCAUACGACCUACGGGUGAAAGCAGGGGAUCUUCGGACCUUGCGCGAUUGAAUGAGCCGAUGUCGGAUUAGCUGGUUGGCGGGGUAAAGGCCCACCAAGGCGACGAUCCGUAGCUGGUCUGAGAGGAUGAGGAGCGACACUGGAAGGGAGAGACGGUGCAGACUCCUAGGGGAGGCAGCAGUGGGGAAUAUUGCACAAUGGGCGCAAGCCUGAUGCAGCCAUGCCGCGUGGAUGAAGAAGGCCUUCGGGUUGUAAAGUACUUUCAGCGGGGAGGAAGGGAGUAAAGUUAAUACCUUUGCUCAUUGACGGUACCCGCAGAAGAAGCACCGGCUAACUCCGUG
rnacentral:rRNA from 1 species